AUACAAAUAAUUGAGAAAGAAUUACAAAAUGUCAAGAUGCUCGUACACAAUAUGCUGAGCGAAAAACAUAUUACAGUAGUCUGGUAAACAAUGGAUUUGUUCUCUAAUUGGAAAAGUGUUUGUGAGGCUUUGUAUACCUUCUUUUCCCAUGUUUUGUAUGAAACAUUACUCUGCUAUCAUUUGGUCUAUUACAUUUUUACCUUUGGGAGAAAUGAGAUGAGCACAGGUCUACCUAGUAAAGUCCAGGUUGUAUCAAGCCUGUUCUUGGGUAAGAUGAGACUCCUCACUCUUUUCCUCUCAUCUCUCCUCUUUUCCCCCUAAGGUGUGUGCAGCUCACUCACUGCUGAGCGCGUCUCAAUCGCAUGUAUAGUAAAGUGUCCGAGAGGAGUGAGGUUGCCAGGAAACUGUCAGUGCUGGCGCUCCCCUCUGCCCGUCUGGGAGUCUGCUGCACCUGCCUCAGUAACCAGCCCUGCUGGCACCGCCACAGAGUGGCCUGGCGCUGGCCAUGGUGAACACGGGACAUACAGGACACCAAUGGUCCUCAGCAGCCUGAAAGGCAUCUUCUUGUCCAGCACUGAUGCCCUAGCAUCAGACAUGUCUAGAAAAAGCAAGAUGGAUCGUAAUGAUGAGAGAAUCAAAAGAGCUUUAAGGCGCCGCCCUUAUGUGUUGAAUCCAGUGAGGGUGAACACCCCUGAUUCUGUGUUGUGGCCAACCGGCAA